AACGAACGCUGGCGGCAGGCUUAACACAUGCAAGUCGAGCGCCCCGCAAGGGGACCUGCAUACGUGUUAUUAACGCCUGGGAACUUACCUUUUUGUUCGUAACAACUCCGUGAAACUGGAGCUAAUUCCGGAUAAGCCCUAUCGUGGAAAGAUUUAUGGCCGAAAGAUUGGCUCGCGUCUGAUUAGCUAGUUUGUUAGGUAACUUGACACCAACGCGACUAUCUGUAGAUGUUAAUAGAGUAUGAUCAGACACACUGGGACUUAGACACGGCACAGAAUCCUACGGGAGGGAGGAGAGGGGAAUAUAGGAAAAUGGGGGCAAGGAUGAAGGAGCCAUGACGGGAGAGUGAUGAAGGCAUUAGGGAUGUAAAGCUCUAUUGACCGGGAAGAUAAUGACGGUACCGGAAGAAAAAGCCACGGCUAACUUCGUG
rnacentral:rRNA from 1 species